rnacentral:lncRNA from 9 species
GUAACCUCUGUUAUUUUGGCUGCUUUAUUGACUAAUUCACAUCUCUCCCACCUGGAUGUCCUUCACCUGUACUUUGGCCCAUGCGACUCCUUCAAGAUCCAACUCCAAGGCCACCUCUCCUCUCUAGACUCUGAAUUGCUCUAGCUGGGCUCUUCUAGUCUAUUAAAGAACUCAGUCUAGACAGAUUGUAGGCACUUAAUUGCCGACAUACUGCCUGAUACCAUAGUUAUUUUUAUAUGUGUCCUGUGUCUCAUCUAAAUGAUUACUGAUUGAGGGUGAAUUGUAUUUAUUUUUAUUUCUCUGUAGUGGCUUCUAUGCAUCCUGGCUCAAUAAAUAUUUAUGGAACAAAUUUAGAAUUUAGGGCCAUUAUUUGACUCUUAAAACUAUUCCUCUUGGCAGUACGUUCCAACUUUAUAAGAAAUAAUAACCAAUAUCAAUUAUAAAGUGCUUAGACUGCUCCCAGCAUUUAACUAGGCACUUAAUUCAUAUUAUCUCACUAACCUUUUAUACAACUCUCUAUAUUAAGGAUUAUUUCUACUCUUUUUUCACAUGAAAAAUGUGAAGCUCAGAGGGGUUGAUUAACUUGCCUGGGAUUGCUCAGUUAGUAUUUGACAGAAACGGAACUCAGUGACACAUCUUUCUGACUCCAUAGCUUGUGCUCUCCUGUGAAGCAAUUGUGUUCUUCAAGAAUGACUGUCGGUGGACAGGCACGAAUGCUAGAGUUAAGAGAGUUCAGUAGUCUUGCCGAAGGCUAUAUAACAAAUAACCACUGCUCAAGUUUCUCUAGUAGGAGCAGUGUACAUUCUGCAGCAUGUAGGCAUUGGAUCGGAGCGACAGGUCCCAGGAUGCUCUACGUUGGACACGCUGCGACAUCUGCCAGGUCUGUGGUCCUGCUCUUUGACACGGGACAGAAAAUCCAACUCAACCGAUCUGGAGCUGAAGAUGAGAUGGAUCCUACUCAAGACACAGGGAUAAGAGGGAUCUAUUUUCAAAGGAAACAAGACAGUCUUAGCAAAAGAAGAGAAAUGGAGGUACAAAGCAAUAUGCCAGGAAUUUAACAUCUCUC